rnacentral:lncRNA from 1 species
AUGAAGCUCCAAAUGAUCAACCUCUGAUGCCUCCUCCUUCUAGGGUUCUGUCCAGUACUGAGGCUCCGAAUGAUCCCCCUCCGAUGCCUUCUCUUUCUGGGGCUCUACCGACUGCUGAUGCCUCCUCCUUCUAGGGUUCUGUCCAGUACUGAGGCUCCGAAUGAUCCCCCUCCGAUGCCUUCUCUUUCUGGGGCUCUACCGACUGCUGAGACUUCUCCUAAGCAACCUUUGUGAAGGUUCCCUCUUGUUUGUUUAUUUUGACUCAAGUAUAUGUACAUAUUUGUAACUUAUCGGGGAUAUCAAUAAAUAAGCUUUCCUUCAUUUCAACGUAUUGUGUUAAAUACACCAAAGCCUUCUUCGCUAAUCUUCUCAUUUUUCUUCUCUUUAUCCUUCAUGCUGCCUGCAAGAUAGGGAGAAUGUGAAUAAUCAGCCGGAGCUCUGAUUGCUUACCUUGUCUGUCACCUCUUUCAGCAGAUCCCCUAGCUUGGCGACUUGGGGGACUCCUACUACAUGGUUUGUAUCGCGCUUGACCAAGCCUGAAACUACAAGUAAGCUUCAAGUGAAAUUGAUACAUUACCUUGUGCAUCUCCACCAGUUACAGAUACCACCCCUGGAUGGAGGAAGAGUACUUCCAGAAAAGAUGCCACAUCUACCUAUGAGACAGAUAAGGCAAGUCAAGACGAUACCACACUCCGGUACUUAGAAGUUUCGU